rnacentral:rRNA from 1 species
UACGGAGGGUGCAAGCGUUGCUCGGAAUCACUGGGCGUAAAGCGACCGCAGGCGGCCUGACAAGUCGGAUGUGAAAGCCCUGGGCUCAACUCAGGAAUUGCAUUCGAAACUGGUAGGCUCGAGUACGGGAGAGGGGGGUGGAAUUCCUGGUGUAGGGGUGAAAUUCGUUGAUAUCAGGAGGAACACCGGCGGCGAAGGCGGCCCCCUGCCCGCAACUGACGCUCAUGGUCGAAAGCGUGGGGAGCAAACAGG